rnacentral:rRNA from 1 species
GAAUGCCUACGGGGCGCAGCAGUAGGGAAUCUUCCACAAUGGACGAAAGUCUGAUGGAGCAACGCCGCGUGAGUGAAGAAGGGUUUCGGCUCGUAAAACUCUGUUGGUAGUGAAGAAAGAUAGAGGUAGUAACUGGCCUUUAUUUGACGGUAAUUACUUAGAAAGUCACGGCUAACUACGUGCCAGCGGCCGCGGUAAUACGUAGGUGGCAAGCGUUGUCCGGAUUUAUUGGGCGUAAAGCGAGUGCAGGCGGGUCACUAAGGCUGGUGUGAAAGCCUUCGUGUCAA